CUCUAAAUAGGAUCUUAAUUAAUUAGUUGAAUCUGAAAUUUCAGACCUAAACAAGAACAAUCAUUUAGGGUUGCUUAAUAUUGUACAUAGAGUAUCUUCAAUUUCUUUUAUAAUUGUUCACAUUUUUAUUCGUUUCAUCACUUUACUACAUCACUUAUACUCACAGGAUAUUUACAAUAUGAAUAUAAGACCUCUCUCAGCUGUUAAUUAGCUUAACACCUAAUUAGGGGGGAUAUGUGGAGGCGUAAAGCUCUGUUUAAUUAGACAAAAGUGUUAUUAUUGUCUUUACCAUAAUAAAAUAAACUCUGUGAUAAGUUCACUCUGAGUGGAGACAUGCAAGCUGGGAAACAGAUUACAUUAGAGGAAAGUUCUUGGCGAGAGGAAAGACAAAUUAACUUGUUAUUGCAGGCAACCAGGAAAACUGGUGAACAAUGCCAGAUCAACUGACCUAGCAAUCUUAAUAAAGUCAUGAGUUAUGUGUUGUCACGUACGCCAAUCUAAUGUUUUCCAGAUGUUGGGCCGGAGUGUAUUCUCUGGAAAAGUAGAGAUAACAGUGUGAAUGUGCCAAGGAAUGUUAUGUAAAGGAGAAGAAUGAUUUCAAUUGGUUAAGAAGGCCCAAAUACACACCAAUGCUUUGUAUCUGUAUAAAAACCACCCUGCACAGACUGGAGGCCAGGGUGACUUCUGGAAUUUGUGAUGGAUAUGACACUGUGCGCUUUUUGAAGAAUAAAAGUACCCUCUCUUAAAUCUCAUUGAGUAGCACAACUCUGCAUCUAGCUGCAGACCAGGACCAGAAUCUCAACCAGACACCAGAAAUGUUUAAAAGUCAUUUGUUUCCCACUUCACUUCAAGUCUCGUCUUUGAGGGGCAAGUCCAAGUCAAGUCUCAAGUCUUUCGCCCCAAUUCAGAGUCAAGUCUCUAACAACUGAAAUAAACAUUUCUUAUCAAAUCCACAA